GGUAGAAACAGAGACAAAUGACUCUCUCUGCUUCAGGUAAUGCCGAAUACAGGAGGAGCUCCCUCAGCUCUGCGCUGGAGCCCAGCAGUCACGGGGGACUGGCGCUGUUUACACACAUGCCUGCGUUCGGAUAGAGAGCGGUUACACAGAAAGACAUCAAACAGGAAACUGAUCCUAGCACAGCCCCGUGUUCCUUUGUACCUCCUCUUGUUUCAGCUCCUCAAGGCCCAGCCUGCAGCAGAGGAGCCAGCCCUUGGCCUUCCAGCACGUGUGGCCCCUGCAGCCUGUGUCCUGUGGACACCCCAGCACCCAACAGCUCACAGCAAUCCAACAGCCUGCGCUCCCAAUCCCUUCCGUUCCACUGCGCAGCCGUAAGCGAGGCACUGCUGGGCACCUUCACGGCCAGAUGGUGUGGCCUCACGUCGGUACUGCCUCCAUCAUUUCCCAUGGAAGCUGAAAUGCAGACCAUGAGAGAGUACUCCAGGGGAAGUGCUGGAUACCCCAAGCAUGAAAAGGAGGGGAGCAACAGCCUCGCAUUCUCACAGGACCCUCCUACUGCACCAGCAAACUGUAUAAAGAAGAUGCCCUCUGGUUUGUUUGGCUGCUUCCCACUGCUGUGCCAAUCCACUGGCAUGAACUUUAAGGAUCCCUGCAAAUAACUCUUAUGCUAAACAGCAUAACACAGCUGACUUUCAAGGAGCACUUAACAUCAGCUUAAUCGCUCAGGACCAUACCAGUACCUACACAGUCUUCUGUCAGAAGGGCAGGCAUCUAUUCAUAAGGCAGAAGAGCAAUGCGAGACCUUAACCAGGUGCAGCAUUCCCACAGCAUCCCGGGUCAAGCCUCACAAGCAGUCCCUAAGCAAGGUAGGCUCAGAAAGGUGGACAAAAAAGGAUGCUUACAGAUUUCCCUUUUGUAGUUCCCUAGAUUUUUAAGACUGUACUUGCAAAGGAGGACAUUUACAAAAUAAAAGGAAAUGAAAUAAAGAAACCCAUGCCAUCUCAAAAGCCAGGUCAGUUUAGCCAACCCGAUUGACACUGCAGCUUAACAAAACCAGAAUUCAGCUGUACUGGGACUUCACGUUACUCGCUUCUGCUGCUCUGAAAAGGGCUAAAAGCAGAAAUUGCUUAUAGAAUCUGCUCCUCUAAGGUGGAAGAAAAGCUGCUCACAAUGCUAACAAUGAUCAGCUAGCUGCCUUGAACUCAGUGGGAUCAGAGUUUGAACACUAUUUUAAUAGAGAUAAAAAAGAUGGUCUCUGGUUUUGUUGCCGUCCUGAUUCAGCCAAUGAGUCAGUCAUCCCUAGGUUGCAACAGGGGCCUUCAUCCUUCACCUGCCCAGGAUCUUCUGUGUAAGCAGCUGCGUUUGUAAAACUACUCUGAAUCUAAAUGACCUUACAGAUAGCUGGAAAUGCGCACGUCUAACUGUGGCCGGUGUGAUGUUAAAACCAAGCUGGUCAGAAGCACUGCAGACAACCCAAGGCAUCUCGAUCUGACUCCAGUGCAAGAGAGCUUGUAGGAGCACUGAUGGGGACGGUGCCGCCGCUGACCCUGGCACCAUGUGCUAACCUCUACCUCACUGUCUGCUCAGUCUGGGCUUCCACUUCCUCUGGGAGAAUGGUCAUCGGCCGGGGCCAGAAGCCAAGAGGAUUUGGAUAUCCAGCACUAUCUAGCUCUUUUGCAACUCUAAGAUUCUGUUUCUCACUAUUGCAAGGAUUGUUUGCUAAAUGAAAUAAUCCCUCUAACUGAAAAGAAAAUCAUUAUGUAAAAAACAGAAAUAAGGUAAGCAUCCUUUACAUGCCUUGUUACCAUGCAGCAAUUAACUGGACCACUAAGGGUUAAUUCUGAUCCUGAGUGGGCCCAAUCAGGUUUGUUUCUGCCAUCUUAUUAGGUUAAAUAAAUAGAAACUUCUUGCAAUAUCCAUCCACAAUGAUAAGCAAUUCCCACUAUAAUGGAUGGCUAAUAUAUAAAUUCAGCCCACAUCAGUUUUGUGUCAACUAGCAAAAACAGAAACAAUGGAAACUAGACAGCCAUGCCUCCGCAUAGGUCAACAACCAAGGUUAUCUGUAUUCAAUUACUGGUAUCUGCAAACUUGCAUACUGUCAGCUGAUCGUAGACUAAAUGAAAACUUAUCAUGCACAGAGGCAGCAAAUACAUUUAUUUGAAGCAGGCAUCAUAUUAGUUCACUGGUUUGACUGUGGUUAAGGGAAAAAAGGGGGUUAUCAGUCUUUUGGGAAAUUCUUUCAAAUAUAACCUGCAGCAAAUAUCUAAAAUUGGGGAUUAUCUAUGUUAUAAAUCUUUGUUCAAAAAGUAGAAAAGGAACAGAAAUUACUCCGUAGCCCUCUAAGACGAUAAAUUAUAUUAUUUAACAAUAGAUAAACUUAGGGCACCUUUCCUGUGGAGCAGCCCUAUUGUGAAUUCGGCUUUAAUCUGCUUCACCUUAACAUCUGUUCAGUGGAACCAAAGAUUUGGCUGUUUCGGACGCAGACAAUAAUUUGUUUGUUAACCGCUUCGCUGGAACAAUACAUCAUUGCAGAAAACAAAGCCUACCAACACAACGCGUUUUUAUCUGUUUCCUCUAUCUGUGUUCCUUUUUCCACAAGUGCAAGUUCAGGUUUUUGAACUGUUUUCCUAGUGAUAAUUUGUGAUGCUGUGAGUUUCAUAACCCUGGAAAAACAUUUUUUUUUUUCAACCUCCUUUUUCAUCUUUGACCAACAGAUGUUCUGUUCAAAACGUGUAAGUACUCAUGAGGUACGUACCAGCAAAUUAUAAUUGCUAACGCCCCUGUGGAAGGAAAAUGUCAAUAAAUAUUUGUUAUCACUGGCCUGUUUGGAAACAAAGGCAUUUGCUUAACAGAAGUUCACGUGCCAAACCUUUUUAUGCAUCUUUUCCAGCAGUCCAUUCAAUUAGACAUCUAACAUUUUGUUUCUUUUCAGAAGAGGAAGUGAAAAUAACCUCACAGAAUCAAAAAUAAAGCAUAAAAGCAUGAGGGCAUCCUGUAUUCCAUAAUCCAUAAAGUGCAAAAUAGCACUUUAGCUCCUUUCAGGGAUCUGAAUGCGGCCACAGAGCUGAGCUGUGAUCCAGCUCCAGCACUUCACCACUGCACACCAAAGCAGCAAUCAAGGGUAGAAAUCUAAAUGCAUGGCACCGUAAUGCAGAGAAAUGCCCCAUUAACAUGUGACUGCUGACAACUGCAAUCCAUACCUAUGGAUAAUCUCCCCUGGCCAAAUGACUAAAAUCUUAGUCAUUGCAGACUUAACUGCAACUCCUCUAGCGAGACAUACAGAGUAUGCUUAGUUCUGACUUCUCCCCAUGUCAGUGUAGUCUGGACUCAUCCUGCUACUGGAGGAGGAGGUAAAACUUACUUUCUAGAUGACUGAAAAAAGCAAAUGCUAUCAUUUUCAUACCUGGGUGCUAAGCUGCUAGAGGCAUUCAGAACUGUCAUGCAGAAAUAACAGAAAAACUUACUUAUGCCACCAGUGCAGCAAAGUAGUUAACACAUCCUUGCACUGUGCCAUCCACUUCAAUCUGCUUCUUCUCGAGCUCUUAUAUCUCCCUCAUUUUAUCUCCGGAUGUUUCUGAAGCUGUAGUUCUAUUCUAAAGACUAGGACUAACAUCUAACACAUGCUGUGAUGAUUUGACAGAUCAGCCUCUGCACCACUAAAAUGAAUGCUGUCUUACAGCGUGGACAGCUUGUGUUUGUUUCAGCCAGCGCACCCCACGUGGGCUGGAGCUUCCUUGCCUUCUCCAUGGCUUUUUGUCCUCUUGUUGAUGCAAAGAGCAAAGGAAUUGCAGGGUGCAUCCAUUCACCUGGCUACAGUGGAGCAUCCUUAAAAUGCAAGAAACUAGCCAUUCUAAUGAGACAGAAAUGGCUGCCACCCAAGGCAGGGUAAUUUUUCCAAGUCUGAACUCUAUGCAGGAAGCAACUUCUCAGUAGCUGCUUGUUUUAUGGAUUCAUUUGAGGAGCUGAUAAAGUUGAUAAGAGGGCUCCUGAGGUGUUUCACAAAUCAGGAGGACAGGGAUCUGCAUUUCUGAGAAGUCAUGUGCAGGAGUUUGGGUCUAGAAGAACUGUGACCUACUUAGAAGACUCUGACUUAAGCCCCAAAUAAUUCUCUUGCUCAAGCAUGAAUUACAAGCAGCUGAAGAAAGAUGAGCUUUCGCACUUGCGCUGCAGCCAACUUUGCCCACAUCUAAUGAGGAAAAGUAGGACUCGGUGCCAUUUUGUAUUCCCGUGAUGCGGUGCAGAUGGAGGCUCGGCACACGCUCCUCUGUCUCCCCUUGCAAAGCACAGAGCUGGAAAGCAUCAGGUUGGAGAGCAGAGGAAGUGGUGGCUGUGAGAAGCUGCCUCACCCAUGGGAGCGGAGUCGGCAGCAGCUCUGGUGACUGGAGAUGGCUGAACUGGAGGAAAAUAUUAAACGGCCCAUGGCCAAAAGCUUGGGGAGUAGAGCAGCAGCCAUGCAUGGAGGGAGGGGAAAGGCUGAGCCAUUACAACUCAGCUUAACCAGCCUCUGCAGAGGCAGAGAGGGUGGCACACAGGGGCUGGCCUCAGCCCUGAGCUGGAUGCAGGCCGCGUUUGUGUGCCAGGCCCAGGCCCUGCCUGCAGCCACGUGGACCCACGUCCCAUGGAUGGAGCGCUGCAGUGAGCCAGCCUUCUGAUGCCAGAUGGGAACACAGCUGGGCUGGGCACCACUGUGGGAUUAUGAACUAAAAAAUAAUGGAAAAAGGCCCGUGGGGAAAGGGAAUGCAACUGAUGGGAGAAACGUCAGAAGAGAUGGGGAGGAUGCAUUCUCUGUUCAUGCUUUAACCGCUGGGCUGUGGAUGUGAGUGAGGCUCCUGAGUUCUGUCAUGGAGGCCACGCUGGGCUGCCCGGGUGCGCAGGCUGACAGUGCACAACACUACCUGCUCACUGGGUCAGGGCUGCCCUGUGCUGCAGGCAGGGUUUUGUUCAGCAAGAGAAAGGUUUUCAACAUAAAAGGCCUUAUAUUCAAAAGACACCAUUUUAACUUGGCCGCAGCAGCAUUGGGAAUACAUACUGGGGAACAGGAAAAGUCCACGGGGCGGCUUUUGUCAGAAAACAGUUUCUGGAAAAAAUUAAAGUUCUCUUGAGGCAUGUAGAAAAAUUCCAGGACACUGUAUUAUUAUUGUUGUUAUUAUUACCCUUGAUCUUUUGGAAGGUGGAGAGGGAGCGCAUGCCGUUUUAAAGAAAGAAGACAGGACAUCUGCAGCCUUUAAAAAGCAAAGCACAAAGGCUGCUGGGCUCUCCUUACAGCAUUUUUAAUUAUCUUCCUUAAGUUUCCCAAAUAAAAACACAUCACAUUGAGCCUCACCCAAUAAAGCUAUGUGGGUAAAUACAAUACCCAUUGUCUAAUCAAUAUCAUAUUGCUCAUGGCUUUAGCUCGUUCAAUAUCUGAGAUCAUUGCCUCCCUACUCACACCUACGGAUGCCAAUAUCUGCUUAAUGUUGGACAAACUGCAGUUGUCAUUCCCUGUAACGGAGUUCUUUAAUCUCAUUAAUAACCUACAGAUACCAAAGUGCAGCUUCAAGUAAAGCUGGCUGGAGCAUGCCAGGUUUCCAGAGUUUCAUCUCUGGGGUGGGGUGGGUUAAAGAGCCCUGGUCCUGGUGGGGCUGCAGCCCCUGCCCCACUGCUGCUGUGCUAGGGCACCCAUGAACAAUUUUUUUUUUUUUUUAAGUCGAACGCAGAGAGUGAAGAGGUAUGGAGAGAGUGAUGGGUAUGAGUAUCUAUCACAGCCAGAUGCCGUGACUAGGACACAGCGUAUGAUGGAAGCACGUCCUCCAAAAUACUCCUUCUGGGAAGCACUCUGCACGCAGGCCCACCCAUCAUCCCCACUGUAACACGGGCAAGCAGGGCGAGAAGGCAAGCAAAGGGCAGCAGCGAGAAAGCGCCUGGCCCGAGGCCUGUCCCAGCAGCGCAUCCCUGAGCCCCGCAGCCCCGCGCAGCUGUCUGGGCGCGCUGCCGCCACGUCCAAGCUCAGCACGGCUCUGGGGAGCCCAAAAUGUAUCGUGAAAUAAAAACAGCUGCGAGGGAAACUCAUAUGACUAGGAUAGGUGCCAUCUAGCAAUUAACAGCCAGAAGUUUUGAUCUGGAAAAUCACAUUUAUUUUAAUUGCUUCGCUGUUGUGUUCAUAAAGAAUUUGGCUCAUUUUAGUAUUUUCCUUAUUAGAUAUACGAUUUAACUUUGGAACAAUGUAGUCAUUAGUUCCAUUGUUCCAGAUUUUUCAUCACGGGGAAAUGAAUGAUGGAGACGUGUUCUGCAAGGAAGAUUGUUUAUAAAUAUUUAUCCUCGUCUUAACAGAUAUUUCUGUAAUCCAGCUGAAUUUUCUAGCACAGAAUUCAACAGUUGUUAAUCUGGCGCAUGGCGAGCGGCACAUUUCCUAACCUCUGAGUUCAGUGAGCGAUCUUAUCAAAAGAACCAAGCAAAAGAAGGCUUUUGUUUUAUGAUUAUUUCCUUCGCAAGACCCAAUUCUUUCCAUUCCCUUCAGUGGGAAGACGCCACCACCACUGCCGUCCACUGACCCCACGGUAGGCACUGCCCUCUGUGCCAUGGGCAGGAUCAGGCCCUUCACAUGGGGCUGGGAGGGGAGCCGUAAAAAAAUGCAUGGGCCUUUCUGCUGGGAACGAGGCUGCUCAGCUGAAAGGAAAUGGGAGGUGAAAAAUGGAAUUUGGCAGUUGUGCGCCGCUCCACCAUUUGGUGCUUGUUGUGGGACUCCAGCAAAAGUGAGCUAUCACUACGGGCAUAAUUUACUUGAUUUUAAGGAUCUGUAUGAAUUCUGGCACCAGACCAAGUAGCCAUUAGCUAUGAGGAGUGCUUCCCAAUGCUCAUUUGUUUUCCAUGUGUGAAUUUUCGCUCAUCUCAUUCUUUAGAAAAAAAUUUUUCUUCAUCAAUUCCAUGUGGAAAAUACAAUAAAAAUCCAGAUAAUGAAUUAAUUCAAGAAACACAACAGUUUUUGUUUUUUUAAAAUGGAAAACUACUAGUUCUGGAAUCAGACUGUCAGCCUGCUUUGAUUUCUGAUAUCUUAAAGCUAAGUGUUAUAAAAUGAUACGGUUGUUCACAUGCUCCAGGUUAGGCUUUUGGGCAAAUUACCCUAAAUAAGGUAACUCAAUAGCUAGGUAGGCAGGCUUUAAUGCUAUUACUAUUAGGAAAAUAUCAUUAAUAUGAGACAUAUGCGGGCCACUAUUGCAUCAGCAGGGCCUCGCUCAGGCAAUGUGGGAGCAGUGCUGUGGAUUGCAGCAGCAGUGCUGGGCCUUCAAACACGUAACGUGCCUUAGUCUUGAGGUCAAAAUCUGUUAAUGCAAUUUUGAGUAUAAGAACAAGAAUUUAAAAUCCAUGUGGUUUUAAUGCCACAUUCUGAGAUGGGGGGGCAGGGUUUGUUGUGUUUCUUUAUUUGGCCUGCUUGCACUGAACGUGAACUCCUUCAAAAUCUGUGUGUGUCACAUUAAGACUCAUUUGUGAGAUGUGAUGAACGAAACAAAAUCUCGUUCCAUUUCUUUGUUCAAAAAGUUUGAUUUUGGUUGUGUUUCAAAUUAUAAGGAUCAUCAUUGGUAAUUUGCAUUUACUUCUCAUCGAAGCAUUACACAAUAAACCGAAACUGUGUGUCAGAUGUACUGCUCCCACAUAAGUGCGCUGAGAUAAAGUGAGACCUCUAAGAGGAUGCCUGCCUUUACAACGAGCGUUCCCGUUUCAAACAAUUAAUAUGUUUGGAUUUCUUCAUUUUUGCGGUCUCUUAGCACAACUUACAGCUAAAGCACUGUGUUGAACACGCAUAUUUUGGAGCGAGCUCUUCUCUGUGUCUAUUUAACAGCUACUCACAGCUGUCUCUGCUUUAAACAUAUUGGGAUAACAUUUCAUUACAAAGCCUUGAUGCAAAGAGAAAGGGAAAAUGGAUGCAGGA